AUACGGAGGGUCCAAGCGUUAUCCGGAUUCAUUGGGUUUAAAGGGUCCGCAGGCGGGAAAAUAAGUCAGUGGUGAAAGCCUACAGCUCAACUGUAGAACUGCCAUUGAUACUGUUUUUCUUGAGUAUAGAUGAAGUGGGCGGAAUAUAUCAUGUAGCGGUGAAAUGCAUAGAUAUGAUAUAGAACACCGAUUGCGAGGGCAGCUCACUAAACUAUUACUGACGCUCAGGGACGAAAGCGUGGGGAGCGAACAGGAUUAGAAACCCUAGUAGUCC
rnacentral:rRNA from 1 species